UCCGCAGAGUGUGUUUAAUAAUGGCCUGGAAAUCAGGAGGAGCUAGCCAAGCAGAGCUCGUCAACAACCUUCGCAUGCUGUAAGAAGUGAGGUGACCUUCCCUUUUAGGUCACUCUCAAGAUGCAUGCACAGCACCUCUGAGUAGAGACCAGUCGACACCCAGAUCUCGACAUGCAGCAUGAUGACCGAUCCCGUAGUGACGCCCCCAGUCCUCCAGCCAGGUCCAGACAUGAUGACCGAUCCCGUAGUGGCACCCCCAGUCCUCCAGCCAGGUACAGACAUGAUGACCGAUCCCGUGGUGAUGCCCCCAGUCCUCCAGCCAGGUACAGACAUGAUGACCGAUCCCGUGGUGAUGCCCCCAGUCCUCCAGCCAGGUCCAGACAUGAUGACCGAUCCCGUGGUGAUGCCCCCAGCCUCCCAUCCAGGUCCAGACAUGAUGACCGAUCCCGUGGUGAUGCCCCCAGCCCCCCGGCUAGGUCCAGACUUGAUGAAAGAGCACAGCGAAGUGAUGACCGAUCCCGUAGUGAUGCCCCCAGCCCCCCGGCCAGGUCCAGACAUGAUGUUAGAUCGCGGCGAUGUGAUGCCCGAUCCCGUAGUGAUGCCCCCAGUCCCCCGGCCAGGUCCAGACAUGACAGACCCUGGCAUGGUGAUCUCAGCAGCCCCCCCUAUGACAGGCAUGAUGCAGUGACUGAGACUGGGAGAUGGGCCUUCCCAUUGCCUUGGGAUGUGUUCCAGAAAAGUCCUGAGCCUACUGGUCGAUAUCGGCAAUCGUCUGAAGGAAACACAGCCUGCCUCUUCAGCUGUCCAUAUUGAGAGGAUUUGAGUUACAGGAGCAACGCCUCUCUGAUGCACAGACCUUUGAUACCCUAGUAGGUUUUACAAGUCUCGAAGUAAUGGAUUCCCUAGAAUAAAAUAAUACAGUGCACUCACACACUGUUAGAUUCCUCUGUGGAGUGUCAGUCAACUUUAUUAUGGACUUAUUUCAACAGGUGCUGCAAAUUUCAAGAACUGGUGGGCGGAACACCAAGGACUGUGCUGGGUUGGACAGGUAUCUACAUGAGCAUGUCAGAAUAGGCUCUUCACCAACAGCCUCAUGGCCAAAUUUAAUUUGAAGGGCAAGGGGAAAAAGGGGAAACGUCCUUUAGAGGGAACAAAGGUUUAUAGAGCAAUACAAGAAGGGCUCAUGAAAUCCGAUCCCACAGCCACCGAGGAGAACAUCAAAGCGAACGUGUCCGAGCACCUGAAGCACGCGCCGCAGACGUGGAGGAUUUACAACGCCCUGAUAAGCCAGCGCCCUCACUCCGAGACGGCCCUAAAUGAUAUCGGCCUCCACCUCACCAGUGUUGUGGCGACAGAGGCGUGGACAUUUAGUCAAGAUUGUGUUUCCCUUUUGGAAAGUUUUUUUUAUAACACUGGAGCUACAAUAAGUCACUGGAUGGCUCACAUACAUACACACACACACACACACUCACUUACACAGGAUUUUUAAAGAGUUAAAUUUA